AUUUAAUUUGGAUCGACGACAAAUUUUGUUUAUACCAGCCAAUAGAAAUGACCCACGUUUGAUAACAAUCAUAUAAAAGUUCUCUGGACAAUCAAACAAACACCAGUUGCCUAUUUCAAAACAAGUGAACAAUCUGAAUAAAAUGAAGAUCCUAUUUCUCUUUUUUCUGGUGUGCUUUGCUAGUCUCGCUGUCAUAUCCGAAAGUUGUUGCCAUACCAUGCAUUAUCCCUGCACUUCUGACGAAAGAUGCUGCAACAAUUAUACUUGCGUAGCAGAUCCAAAGGAUGGGGUCAAGAAAUGCCAAUAGUUAAGAAUAAUAAUGGUGAAAAGAGACUUUCAGAAAAAUAAAUAUCUGCAAUAAUUAACAA